rnacentral:rRNA from 1 species
UACGUAGGGAGCAAGCGUUGUCCGGAAUCAUUGGGCGUAAAGAGCGUGUAGGCGGCUGGCCAAGCGUGAUGUGAAAUCUUCGGGCUUAACCCGAAAACUGCAUUGCGAACUGGUCUGGCUAGAGUGUGUGAGAGGGUAGUGGAAUUCCCGGUGUAGCGGUGAAAUGCGUAGAUAUCUGGAGGAACACCGGUGGCGAAGGCGGCGUUCUGGACUGUUUCUGACACUGAAAAACGAAAGCCAGGGGAGCAAACGGG